CAGGUGAAAAACAUUGACCAAGAAGUAGCUGUCGAUUUUGAGGUUAUCUAACGCUUUGCGUGCUGGUACAUGCAGGGUGUCGAAUCAGUUGCUAAAACUUGAGAAGCAGACCAAUCUUUUAGCGUGCUAUUACACCAACAUCUCACCGGUGUCGUGCUCAAAAGAGCUGCACAUUCUCUCGCAACA